rnacentral:rRNA from 1 species
AUCCAAGGAAGGCAGCAGGCGCGCAAAUUACCCACUCCCGGGACGGGGAGGUAGUGACGAAAAAUAACAAUACGGGACUCUUUUGAGACCCCGUAAUUGGAAUGAGAACACUCUAAAUCCUUUCGCGAGUACCCAUUGGAGGGCAAGUCUGGUGCCAGCAGCUGCGGUAAUUCCAGCUCCAAUAGCGUAUAUUAAAGUUGUUGCGGUUAAAAAGCUCGUAGUUGGAUCUCAGUUCCAGACGGGCGGUCCGCCUACCGGCGGUUACCGCCUGUUCUGAACAGCCAGCCGGUUUCUCUUGAUGAUCUUUACCGGUUGUCUUGGGUGACCGGCAAGUUUACUUUGAAAAAAUUAGAGUGCUCAAAGCAGGCGUGACGCCUGRAUAAUGGUGCAUGGAAUAAUGGAAUAGGACCUCGGUUCUAUUUUGUUGGUUUUCGGAACACGAGGUAAUGAUUAAGAGGGACAGACGGGGGCAUUCGUAUUGCGACGCUAGAGGUGAAAUUCUUGGACCGUCGCAAGACGAACUACUGCGAAAGCAUUUGCCAAGAAUGUUUCCAUUAAUCAAGAACGAAAGUUAGAGGUUCGAAGGCGAUCAGAUACCGCCCUAGUUCUAACCAUAAACGAUGCCAGCCAGCGAUCCGGCUGUGUUCCUCAAAUGACACGCCGGGCAGCUUCCGGGAAACCAAAGCUUUUGGGUUCCGGGGGAAGUAUGGUUGCAAAGCUGAAACUUAAAGGAAUUGACGGAGGGGCACCACCAGUAAUGGAGCCUGCGGCUUAAUUUGACUCAACGCGGGGAAACUUACCCGGCCCGGACACAGGAAGGAUUGACAGAUUAAGAGCUCUUUCUUGAUUCUGUGGGUGGUGGUGCAUGGCCGUUCUUCGUUGGUGGAGCGAUCUGUCUGGUUAAUUCCGAUAACGAGCGAGACUCUAGCCUACUAAAUAGACGUUCCGAUCUUCUGCGUCGGACGUUCUUCUUAGAGGGACAAGCGGCGUUUAGCCGCACGAGACAGAGCAAUAACAGGUCUGUAAUGCCCUUAGAUGUCCGGGGCCGCACGCGCGCUACAUUGAAGGAACCAGCGUGUGCUUUCCCUGUCCGACAGGACUGGGUAACCCGUUGAACCUCCUUCGUGCUGGGGAUAGGGGCUUGUAAUUCUUCCCCUUGAACGAGGAAUUCCCAGUAAGCGCGAGUCAUUAUCUCGUGUUGAUUACGUCCCUGCCCCUUGUUCACACCGCCCGUCGCUACUACCGAUUGAAUGAUUUAGUGAGGUCUUCGGACUGGCGCUCGGAGCGGCCCUUCGGGUCGCGCCGGCGUGCCGGAAAGAUGACCAAACUUGAUCAUUUAGAGGAAGUAAA